UACGAAGGGUGCAAGCGUUACUCGGAAUCACUGGGCGUAAAGCGUGCGUAGGCGGUUCGUUAAGUCUGCUGUGAAAGCCCUGGGCUCAACCUGGGAACUGCAGUGGAUACUGGCGGACUAGAGUGUGAUAGAGGAUGGUGGAAUUCCCGGUGUAGCGGUGAAAUGCGUAGAUAUCUGGAGGAACACCGGUGGCGAAGGCGGCAUCCUGGACCGGUAUUGACGCUGAGGCGCGAAAAGCCAGGGGGAGCAAACGGG
rnacentral:rRNA from 1 species